ensembl:lncRNA
GUGACCAAUAACAUCUGAUAAAUAUGUGUAUGUGACCAAUAACAUCUGAUAAAUAUGUGUAUGGACCAAUAACAUCUGAUAAAUAUGGACCAAUAACAUCUGAUAAAUAUGUGUAUGGACCAAUAACAUCUGAUAAAUAUGGACCAAUAACAUCUGAUAAAUAUGUGUAUGUGACCAAUAACAUCUGUUAAAUAUGGACCAAUAACAUCUGUUAAAUAUGGACCAAUAACAUCUGAUAAAUAUGGACCAAUAACAUCUGUUAAAUAUGGACCAAUAACAUCUGUUACAUAUGGACCAAUAACAUCUGUUAAAUAUGGACCAAUAACAUCUGUUAAAUAUGGACCAAUAACAUCUGUUAAAUAUGGACCAAUAACAUCUGUUAAAUAUGGACCAACAACAUCUGAUAAAUAUGUCUAUGUGACCAAUAACAUCUGAUAAAUAUGUGUAUGUGACCAAUAACAUCUGAUAAAUAUGUGUAUGUGACCAAUAACAUCUGUUAAAUAUGUGUAUGGACCAAUAACAUCUGAUAAAUAUGUGUAUGGACCAAUAACAUCUGAUAAAUAUGUGUAUGGACCAAUAACAUCUGUUAAAUAUGUGUAUGGACCAACAACAUCUGAUAAAUAUGUGUAUGUGACCAAUAACAUCUGAUAAAUAUGUGUAUGUGACCAAUAACAUCUGAUAAAUAUGUGUAUGGACCAAUAACAUCUGCUAAAUAUGGACCAAUAACAUCUGAUAAAUAUGGACCAAUAACAUCUGAUAAAUAUGGACCAAUAACAUCUGAUAAAUAUGGACCAAUAACAUCUGAUAAAUAUGUGUAUGUGACCAAUAACAUCUGAUAAAUAUGUGUAUGUGACCAAUAACAUCUGAUAAAUAUGUGUAUGUGACCAAUAACAUCUGAUAAAUAUGUGUAUGUGACCAAUAACAUCUGAUAAAUAUGUGUAUGGACCAAUAACAUCUGAUAAAUAUGUGUAUGGACCAAUAACAUCUGAUAAAUAUGUGUAUGGACCAAUAACAUCUGAUAAAUAUGUGUAUGUGACCAAUAACAUCUGAUAAAUAUGGACCAAUAACAUCUGUUAAAUAUGGACCAAUAACAUCUGUUAAAUAUGGACCAAUAACAUCUGUUAAAUAUGGACCAAUAACAUCUGUUAAAUAUGGACCAAUAACAUCUGUUAAAUAUGGACCAAUAACAUCUGUUAAAUAUGGACCAAUAAACAUCUGUUAAAUAUG